rnacentral:rRNA from 1 species
UUUUGAUUUGGUAUAGGUGGGUAUUGUUGCUUUGUUUGUAAGGUAUUAUCAUUAGAGUUUGUGCUGAUUAAUAAAUUAUGAAAGGAUUAAUUUUAGGUACUGUAAAGUAAUUAGAUAUAAUAUUGUUUUAGUAUUUUUGAGAGAGAGUACCUUUUGUCUCAGGGGAUUUUAAAUUUGUUUAAUUGUUUAUGUCUCCCGAAGGAAAAAGAGCUAAAGAAUUUAUUAAGGUUAGAGUAGCAUAUUUAAAUGAAAAAAUUUUUUAGGAGUGAGAUGUUAAUCGAUUUUUUGGAUAUCUGGUUUUCAGUGAAAUUAUUUAGAUAGGCUUCUUUGUUGUUAUUUUAUAUUGAUUAAGGUAAAUAGAGAAAUUUAGAGUAUUAGGGAUUAGCUUAGUAUUUUAUAUUUAUAUUUUGGUUUAUGUAAUAUAAGGGUGAGGCUUAUGAAGUAGCUGUUUGUUUAAUAACAUUUAUUGGGUAAAUUUAAAUUAUGAAGAUAAUUGGAAUUUUUUGUAAAUUUUUAUGGUUAGGUAUAAUGAAGUUAUUAGUAGAGUGUAAAUGUGUAAAGUUUAUUUUAAGUUAUUCUUUAUCGUAUCUAUUUUGGAUUAUUUUAAUUAAGGAAUUAGGCAAAAUCAUUCCUCGUUUGUUUAUCAAAAACUUUUCCUUAAGGUAAAAUUUAAGGUCGGCCCUGCUCAGUGAUUGGUUUAAACAGCCGC